rnacentral:rRNA from 1 species
UACGAAGGGUGCAAGCGUUACUCGGAAUUACUGGGCGUAAAGCGUGCGUAGGUGGUUUGUUAAGUCUGAUGUGAAAGCCCUGGGCUCAACCUGGGAAUUGCAUUGGAUACUGGCAGGCUAGAGUGCGGUAGAGGGUAGUGGAAUUCCCGGUGUAGCAGUGAAAUGCGUAGAUAUCGGGAGGAACACCUGUGGCGAAAGCGGCGCACUGGACCAUAACUGACGCUGAGGCGCGAAAGCUAGGGGAGCAAACAGG